UCCGUAGAACAAGCGUUGUAAUAAAACACACGUACGUUCUGUAAGUAAUAAGCGAGCAGUCAUGUGGCACUAAUUGUGUUUAUGUGGUACUUGUAAUAGCGCUGGUAUUGUCUCGGUGCGCUCUUCAUCAUGUGGCGGCUUAUCAGCUGCUGCCUCGUCCUGUUGCUGACUGUCAAGACAACUUGCAGUGAAUGUGACGCACGGUGUUCUGGUGAUAGGUGUAAUUCGGGGUACGCUGAUAGCCAGUGUUUUACUAUUUGUUCCGCAAAUGUAUGCACAGCAGCGUGCGUGGGUACAAAUUGCACUGCCAUG